UGUAGUUAUGAUUUUUUCCAGAAGCAAGACAAAAUCAAACCUAUAUAAGUAGGGUAUCAUUUUAAUCGUAUGGACCUAAAGAAUACGUUUUUUGGUGUCAUUUUUACAAAAAAAAAUAAAAAAAAAAUACUUUACUGCAUAGAAAUGGAAGCCCCCAAAUUUACAAAAUGGCAGUUUUUCUUCAAUUUUGUCGCACAAUGAUUUAUGAUUUUUUAAAUAUAAGGAGGAAAAAAUGAAAGUGGAAAAAACUUCAUUCCUUAAAAAUCCCACCACUGGUUGACCCCAUAGCUACUGGAACACUAACCAGUUCUGCAGCAUCAGGCUUGUCCAUGAGUCAUGGACAAGGCUGCAUGAGCAGACACACCAAUCACCUCCCACCACCCCACACAAGGGUCAUGCCCACUUUCUCCAAGAGGUUGUCUAACACAACUAAUGAAAAGAGGGGGGAGUACUUAAUAUAAUGUCAUCACAAACUGUCCUGAUUUCAACAUGCCUUUUCCAGGAUGCAAACCUGACAGGAAGUUAUGUUGUCCUUUCAUUUUGAGUGUAGCGUUAUCUCCAGCUCCCAGCUCUUCACUCUCUCCAGAGAUAAUGCAUCUUCCUCUGCUGUCUCAAGAGGCUUGGCUGAAUCUGGUCUCUGAGCUCUAGCCACACCAUCUGAGUGAUGUCAUCACCUCUGACCAGCCCCUACAGCUACAUCAACUUCCUGUCAUAAACAUCUUUAUUGGGACAUUUAAGUAGAGCGAGAUUGGCAGCCUGCUGUCUUGUGCUGAACAAUUAUACAGACAGAAGAGCAGGCAGGGAAUGAAAAACAGGUGCUGCAACCUCAAGGACGCUAUAGUUUGCUGUAAAAUCAGAUGUUCAGCAACAGUUCUGGGUGGGGAACUGGCAGGAGUGGACCGUGAAGAAAAGUUGAGAGAAAGCAAAACAUUCUGGAACAGUACGAAAUUAAGACACACCCGGCCAACCCUCCCCGCGUCAGUUUGAGAACUGAGGCAAACAUGGUAUAUGCUCCUAAAGCAUUUUUAUGUUUUUGUUUUUUUACCUGACAUUAGAGUACUCCAUUAAGGGACAAGUAUCAUGGAGGGGGAAAAAAGAAAAAAAAAUGUUUUUUAUCCUGGCUCUCAUUCACAGUGGCACAUCACGGCCCCCGGCCGCCACGCCCCCUCUAUAUCGUUCUAUGGGAAAGCUGAAGAUUACCAAAUAACUCUCAGAGCUAUAUGGAGGGGUCGUGAUGCGCCGCUGUGGAGGAGAGCUGUAGCUCUAAACAGGAGAUUGCGGGUGGAGGGGGGUAGUUCGAGCGCCUGGACCCCCGCGAUCUAAAACUUUACCCCUAUCCUUUAGAGAGGGGGAAUAAGUUUUUUUCCAUGAUACUUGUCCUUUAAGUCAGUCCCUCAUCUCUAGGUCAGUUAUUGAAGGGAAGGGCUUGCAUUAUUACCUAGUGGACUGAGAAAUAUAGUCAACCCCCAUCUGUUUUUGUUAGAGUAUCUUUACACUGGAUGGUUUUGAAGAGUAAACUUCCACACGAUUUCAACAAGAAAAGCCACAAGUAAAAAAAAAUUUAAAAAAAAAAAACCUCUUUCCUCUAUGGAUUUAGACAGUUUUUUUUUUGUUUUUUGUUAAUACAGGCCUGUAAAGAUUUACAGACUUAAAUGGCAAAAACAAAAACUAAAUGCAAGUCUUAAAUGUCCCCUCAACUAAAUAUGUUGUGGAUCUCAUGCCCAGUUUUCACAUGGGAUUAGCAUUCAUAUCCACUCCACAAAACACUUAAAAAACUCCUACAAAACCCCUUGAACCCGACAUCCUGUAGGCGCAAUAUUCGUGAAUUUGUUUAACAAAGGGCGGGACUAAAAGGAGCGAUUGUAAGCUCACCAGAAUAGUUUAGAGAGAUCAAUAGAUAUCAAAAUAUGAAGAGUUUGUAAAGUAGUGCAGAGUUUGUACACUCGCGUUUGCCUGGGUUUCCUUAAUGUAACUACAAUGUAGGGUGUGUUCACACUGCGUUAUACUGUGUAUAAUGUAUAUGGUUUUUUUGUUUUUUCUUGGGGGGGGGGGGGGGGAAGACAUGUUAAAGAUAUAAUAACUAUUCAACAUACUAUUUUGGCAAAUAGACUGGUGAAACUAAGUUUUUGCACAGCAAAGUCAAACAAAUUGUGGGGCUGUAUAGGAAGAGACGUCACUGCCACAGGGACUAGAUUACAGGUCCCGAUGGCAUUUUUUUGGAACUAUAAUUACUCAGGAUUGCCAGGUCUGCACCAGUUUUAUACCGCCCACGGUUAUAUUGCCCAGCGCAAGACUGGUGAUCGGUUCCCUUUAAGGAGAUACCGUAUGGCAUAUCUAGUUUCCCAUUAAAUAAUCAAACAUUUAAAAUGAAAAAACAAAACACACUAAGGGUGCAUUCACUCUGCUAUUGCGGUCUGUUUAACAAACAUUUAGAUUAAAAAAAAAUAAAUAAAUCUAAGCUGAUUGAUGCUAAAAAUGAAUUUACAUAAAAAAUAUAAAAAUAACACUAAAAAAACACCACUUUUGCGGAACACAUUUGCGUGGUUGACUUUUUUUUUUUGCAAAUUAAACAGGCACUAAAAGGCAUAAGCACAAUGUAAACCUAUCCUUACUCCCACCCCCCAAAAACAUAAAGAGGUUCACUUUUAAGUCACAUAUUAACAGUAUGAGAUCAGUUAGGGCUGCAUAAAUUAACUUAAAAUAUUUUUUUUUUUUUUUAAAUAAAACCACCACUACACAAACGUCUAAAGAACAAACAGUAAUAACUAUAAAGACAAUAGUCCACUCCGUGAGGAGGGCCUCCCCACAUGUCACACAGAGGAGUAACAGUCUCUGAGGUGAUGAUGAACGCUGCGCCUCACGAGGUGACGGUUAUUUCCACCAGUCACGUGAGCCGUUUUCCCGCCCAUUAGGCAUCCGAGUAAUUACACAUUUGUUAAAGUUGCAGGGAUGGCGCUCGGAGCUGUCGCCGCUGCCAGCAGAGGACAGCCCACAGCGGCACUAGUACUCUGUAGAAGUGCCUGCAGGAAGCGGUGACAUCAACUGUCUUCUGACCAGAAGUCACAUCUGGAGUGUAUAGCAUCUGAAGUAACAUCCAGCCAAAGAAUAUGGCGCCAUAUUUUGACAUUAACCAGUGCCUGCAGCCACCCAUUUGCCUGAUUGGACAUCUAGAGCUGCUAACCAGAAUGUCUUCCUCUAUAUAGAGAUCUUCUGAUCCACCAUUUAGGAUUAUUCAUCUGAAGCAGGGGGUCUAUUUGAACCUUGAAACACAAUCUCUAUAAAAUUCCUUCUAAAACUGUAUUCUUGGUUGCGAUUACAUCAGCUUACAGAGUAAGCGAACUCCGGGCCCUGUCUAUACUAUGUGCAAGUAAAGGUAUCUUCAGUAGAAACGCCGGCUUAACAUGGCACAGGAAUGACUCGAGGCACAGCCAGAUAAGAACAUAACAAAUCUUUUAAUACCAAGAUGCAACGCGUUUCACUGCGCAGCUUCUUCAGGUAGGAGGACAUAGUAAUACCAUACUUCUGCUUUACUCCCAAAAAUGAUCAAUAAAGGUAAUUUAACUGUUCAGAUGUCCAGAGAGCUAUAUUGAAUCUCCUAAGCCUCCAAGAGUUGCCAGAUGGCUUUUUCAGAAGCUUACACUGCUAGAGUUAAGUGCCCCCCCCUCUUUUAUUUAAGGCUCAUUCAAACCAGAAAAGUAUCUUCCUUUUGGGUGGAGAAAGCUUCAGCCUCAGUGGAACAAAUUGGCAAAGCUGCUAGUUGAAAAAAUUUACAUACUUUUUCCAAGCACUAUAGGCUAGACCUUAUGACCAAUAAGGAUAUGACAUUUGGAUGCAAGGUCCUCAGAGCUGUUGUCCCUCUCUAAAAAGUUACUUCUUUGGCAGGGGAAACGAUAAAUUAUAUUCAACGAUAAUCCGAUUUCUAGGAAGUCUUUAUAAAAGCACCCGUGCAUUUCUUACGGUGAUAGAUAUUCUCUUUGUAAUUUGUUUUAUUAAAAUGCAUCUGUCACCUCCGUUUGAGGUAUGGAGGUGCAGGCACCAUCAGUUAGAUCAUAGGGAGAUCAAACAUAUCAUACUUUUGCUUCCUUAGCCCGCAGCUUGCAAAAUUAAAUUGCACCCUAACUGAUGGAGCCUGCACCUCCGUACCUCAUACAGAGGGGACAGUUGUACUUUCUUUUUCAUGGGAGACAGGCCCAAGAGCUUUUUGGGCCAUUUUUUCUACAUAUAUAAUAAAUUGUGAACAAUUUUAGACCCUUACACUUUUUUCGUAUUUUAUGUUGAGACCUAGUGCAAAAAUGAAAAAAAAAAUGAGUUUUUCAAUUAUAAUAAUAAUAAUCUUUAUUAUUAUUACAGGUUCUGCAGUGCUAUAAAGGGGCAAAGUGCUAACCAUGUAAGCCAAUUAGGGAAUGUUAUAGGCCUGCUUAAAGAGGUGUGUCUUUAGUGCUAGUUUAAAACUGAAUGUUAUGGUUGAGUCUGAGGGAUCGCAUUCCAGAGAACUGGUGCAGUACAAGCAAAGUCUUGGAGACGGGAGUGAGAGGUUCGGUUUAUAGAAGAUUUUAAUGUGAGAUCAUUAGCAGAGUGGAGAGAACGUGUAGGAUGGUAAAACAGAGAUGAGGGAUGAGAUGUAAGGAGGUGCAGCAUUGGGAAGAGUUUUGUGUGUGUGAUACUGAGGAUUUUGUACUGUAUUCUGGACUAAAUGGAUAACCAGUAUAGUGACUGGCACAGGGGGGAGGCAUUGGUGUAACGGCUGGAGAGGAAGAGGAGUCUAGCUGCGGCAAUUAUGCAUUCAAUACCCUAUAACGACAAAGUGAUAACAGAAUGUUAACCACCUAAGUACCCAGAGCGUACCUGUACAUCCUUAGUCCUCUCCCUUUCUAUAAUGCGGGGCCACAUUUUAAACGUAUACAUUUUCCUGCAUGUAGUUAUGAUUAUGAUAUUUUCCAGAAGUACGACAAAAUCAAACCUAUAUAAAUAGGGACAUAAGAAAUGCCGAGGGGCAACUCAGCUCACUCACCACACCGUAAUAUAGUCCUGGGCUUCGUAGAGAGAAGACAGUCUGGAGC